rnacentral:rRNA from 1 species
AAGCGGAGGAAAAGAAACCAACAGGGAUUGCCUUAGUAGCGGCGAGUGAAGCGGCAAAAGCUCAAAUUUGAAAUCUGGCACUUUCAGUGUCCGAGUUGUAAUUUGAAGAAGGUAUCUUUGGGUCUGGCUCUUGUCUAUGUUUCUUGGAACAGAACGUCACAGAGGGUGAGAAUCCCGUGCGAUGAGAUGUCCCAGACCUAUGUAAAGUUCCUUCGAAGAGUCGAGUUGUUUGGGAAUGCAGCUCUAAGUGGGUGGUAAAUUCCAUCUAAAGCUAAAUAUUGGCGAGAGACCGAUAGCGAACAAGUACAGUGAUGGAAAGAUGAAAAGAACUUUGAAAAGAGAGUGAAAAAGUACGUGAAAUUGUUGAAAGGGAAGGGCUUGAGAUCAGACUUGGUAUUUUGUAUGUUACUCUCUCGGGGGUGGCCUCUACAGUUUACCGGGCCAGCAUCAGUUUGAGCGGUAGGAUAAGUGCAAAGAAAUGUGGCACUGCUUCGGUAGUGUGUUAUAGUCUUUGUCGAUACUGCCAGCUUAGACUGAGGACUGCGGCUUCGGCCUAGGAUGUUGGCAUAAUGAUCUUAAGUCGCCCGUCUU